rnacentral:rRNA from 1 species
AUGAACGCUGGCGGCGUGCUUAACACAUGCACGUCGCGCGAGAAGUUUUGAAAAGAUUCUUCGGAUGAAAUUUAAAAUGGAAAGCGGCGGACGGGUGAGUAACGCGUAGGCAACCUGCCCCAUACAAAGGGAUAGCAUUUGGAAACGAAUAUUAAUACCUUAUGAAACUUAACUAGUGCAUGCUAGGUAGGUCAAAGAUUUAUCGGUAUGGGAUGGGCCUGCGUCUGAUUAGCUAGUUGGUGAGGUAACGGCUCACCAAGGCGACGAUCAGUAGCCGACCUGAGAGGGUGAACGGCCACAUUGGAACUGAGACACGGUCCAAACUCCUACGGGAGGCAGCAGUGGGGAAUAUUGCACAAUGGGGGAAACCCUGAUGCAGCAACGCCGCGUGAACGAUGAAGGCCUUUGGGUCGUAAAGUUCUGUUCUAGGUGAUGAAAACUGACAGUAACCUAGGAGAAAGCCCCGGCUAACUCCGUG